UUUAUCUGUUCCUCUGCAAAUCCCAGUUCGAUAAGCGCAAAUUCGCCAACACUGAAAUCGGAAAAAUGGACACGGACAUUUCCCGGUGGGUGAUGGAGUUCCUCCUCCGCAGUUCCGUCCCCGAUUCCCUAAUCCAAAAAGCCCUAAUCGUCCUUCCUCUCUCCGGGGCCGACUCCCGCCUCAAGAAGACCCUUCUUCUUCGCACUCUCCGCACCCUCCUCCUCCAGGCCUCCCUCUCCGAAACUGCGCUCCAAAUCUUCGAACACCUCGAAGAACUCGAUGGUGACUCCACCUCCGUCGCGCUCCGCCGCGCGUACCUGGCCGUUGCCGUCGAGUGCACUGUCAAGUACCUCGCCGCCGCCCCCGAUGACCCCGAGGGGGUGUUUUCUGGCGCCGUGAAGCGGAUUUGGCGCGGCCGCGUGGCGGCACUGGAGGCGCGCCGGAGCGGGCUGGUGUCUGGCGAGCUGGCGCAGUGGCGGGACGACGUGGAGGCAGCGGUUGGAGAUUCUAGGGCUUGCGAGAGGCUGGCGGAUUUCAAUAGCAGGAGGGAGGCGAUGAAAGAGGUGAGGGCGUAUUUGAAGGAAGCGUGGGAAUCGAUGGGUCCUUCGUUCUUGGAAUCGGUUGCGGCGAUGUCGAAGGGUUUAACCAAGGAGAAAGAGGAUUUUGUUAUUAGUGGUGACAGGUGUGAUAAUGAUCAAGAUAAUGGAAAUAACGGUGAUCAUGGCUGCAUGGAGGGUGUGGCAAUGCAUGAUGAGAAUCAGACCAAACAACAAUUGGAAGAGAAAAUUGAGGCGAAUCAGGAAGUGGGUGGAUGUGACUUGCCACUUCAGGGAGAUAAAGUAAUUCAAAAGCGGAAUCUUCGGGUUAAACACAAACACUCUGCACUUCGUGCAUGUCAUAGGGGAGUUAAAAUAAAUUAUUCAGAGGAAGGACGGAGCAAACAUGAUUCUGUUCCUAGUUCUGAAGUAAAAGAAGUUAGAGAAUCCCUUAAAUCAAGUUCUUACGAUUUAAGAGCAUUGGUCAAGGAUCCUCUUCCUGAUGCAUUGCAUUUAUCUGAAGCUGUAAGAUCGAAAUUGGCUACAAGUGAUACAAAUAUUGAGCCACCUAUUGAAAAGCAGAGUCCAGAUGUAGAUUUACCAGAUCCAGAUGUUUGCCAGACUAUUGUACUUUUUCAGCCUAAUGAUGCCAAUAUUGGGAAGAAGUCUUCUGUUUAUUGUAGUGAUUUACAUCAGCCCAACUUAAUGGAACGAAACAGAAGUGCCCAGACAUCUGAGUGGGAUGAUUCAAUAGACAACUCGCCACAAGCAAGACAGCCUAAGAGGAGGAAAAGGAGAUGGAGUUCUUUGGAAGAGGAGACACUAAGGGCCGGUGUAAAAAUGUUUGGAGAAGGAAACUGGGCAACAAUAAAAAGUUUUUACAGUAACAUAUUUGACAACAGAAGUGGAGUUGAUCUGAAGGACAAGUGGAGAAAUAUGAUACGAUGACCCAAAUGUGCUACUUGAACAUUCAUGUCUAUAUCUUGUGGAGGACUUUGUAAUACUUUCAGGUAAUGACAAUUUUGAUAGCAGCUUCACGCUGUGCGAUCAAGUUUUAUUAAAACACCAUCAAAUAGUACAGUUAGUGAGGACCAACUGGUAUCCAAAGCCCAUGCACGGAUCUUUCAAACACAUCAUUCUUCCGUGUCUGCUUUCAACUGCUCAGCUGAAGGUUCCCAUUCUGGUAGUGCGAAAGAUCAAGUCAAUUUCGAGGUCUGAAUUGUACUAGUUAUGGUGUUUAAGUUUUAAUCAGUAUUUGCAAUUAUAGUCCCUUUUAACGGCUACAAGUAUGAUAUUGAUAGCCAUGUAAAUUUAUAAUCCAACUCAUGUUUUCUCUAGUAAGAACUUACAGAUGUGGUACAUCAACUUUAAUUGUUGUCUUGUUUUUUCUUAUUUCC